rnacentral:rRNA from 1 species
UAAUACGGGGGGAGCAAGCGUUGUUCGGAUUUACUGGGCGUAAAGGGCGCGUAGGCGGCCACCGCAAGUCGACUGUGAAAUCUCCGGGCUUAACCCGGAAAGGUCAGCCGAUACUGCGGGGCUAGAGUGCAGAAGGGGCAACUGGAAUUCUCGGUGUAGCGGUGAAAUGCGUAGAUAUCGAGAGGAACACCUGCGGC